AUUUAAGUAGCUUAAAUUUAAAGCCUGAUAUUGAAGAUAUCAUAAUGGGUUAUCCCCUUAAAUA
rnacentral:tRNA from 1 species